AUACUUACCUCGAAGGGGAGAUACCAUGAUCGUGAAGGCGGUUUUCACUGGGUGAGGCUUACCCAUUGCACUCUAGAUGUUCUGGCCCCUGCAAUUUCCCCAAAUGUGGGGAACUUGACUGCAUACUUUGUGAUAGUGGGGAAAAGAACUCAUUUGAUAAACAUCUCCUUA
ensembl:snRNA U1 U1 spliceosomal RNA